rnacentral:sRNA from 1 species
UCCGUAGGUGAACCUGCGGAAGGAUCAUUACCGAGUGCAGGUCUGCCCCCGGGCAGGCCUAACCUCCCACCCGUGAAUACCUGACCAACGUUGCUUCGGCGGUGCGCCCCCCCCCCCCGGGGGUAGCCGCCGGAGACCACACCGAACCUCCUGUCUUUAGUGUUGUCUGAGCUUGAUAGCAAACCUAUUAAAACUUUCAACAAUGGAUCUCUUGGUUCCGGCAUCGAUGAAGAACGCAGCGAACUGCGAUAAGUAAUGUGAAUUGCAGAAUUCAGUGAAUCAUCGAGUCUUUGAACGCACAUUGCGCCCCCUGGCAUUCCGGGGGGCAUGCCUGUCCGAGCGUCAUUGCUGCCCUUCAAGCCCGGCUUGUGUGUUGGGUCGUCGUCCCCCCCGGGGGACGGGCCCGAAAGGCAGCGGCGGCACCGCGUCCGGUCCUCGAGCGUAUGGGGCUUUGUCACCCGCUCGAUUAGGGCCGGCCGGGCGCCAGCCGGCGUCUCCAACCUUCUAUUUUACCAGGUUGACCUCGGAUCAGGUAGGGAUACCCGCUGAACUUAAGCAUAUCAAUAAGCGGAGGAAAAGA